UACAGAGGUCUCAAGCGUUGUUCGGAUUCAUUGGGCGUAAAGGGUGUGUAGGUGGCGCGUUAAGUCGGGUGUGAAAUUUCGGAGCUUAACUCCGAAACUGCAUUCGAUACUGGCGUGCUUGAGGACUGGAGAGGAGACUGGAAUUUACGGUGUAGCAGUGAAAUGCGUAGAUAUCGUAAGGAAGACCAGUGGCGAAGGCGGGUCUCUGGACAGUUCCUGACGCUGAGGCACGAAGGCUAGGGGAGCAAACAGG
rnacentral:rRNA from 1 species